rnacentral:rRNA from 1 species
GAUGAACGCUGGCGGCGUGCCUAAUACAUGCAAGUCGAGCGAACAGAUGAGGAGCUUGCUCCUCUGACGUUAGCGGCGGACGGGUGAGUAACACGUGGAUAACCUACCUAUAAGACUGGGAUAACUUCGGGAAACCGGAGCUAAUACCGGAUAAUAUAUUGAACCGCAUGGUUCAAUAGUGAAAGACGGUUUUGCUGUCACUUAUAGAUGGAUCCGCGCCGCAUUAGCUAGUUGGUAAGGUAACGGCUUACCAAGGCAACGAUGCGUAACCGACCUGAGAGGGUGAUCGGCCACACUGGAACUGAGACACGGUCCAGACUCCUACGGGAGGCAGCAGUAGGGAAUCUUCCGCAGUGGGCGAAAGCCUGACGGAGCAACGCCGCGUGAGUGAUGAAGGUCUUCGGAUCGUAAAGCUCUGUUAUUAGGGAAGAACAAAUGUGUAAGUAACUAUGCACGUCUUGACGGUACCUAAUCAGAAAGCCACGGCUAACUACGUG